UGGUAGGGGCAUUAUAGGGCAUUAUGCCCACUACACCACUUUUGCUAUAAUGUCUAAGUGUGACUACGAUGCCACAUAUCAGAUAAUGCCCAUGUGUAGGCAUUAUAAAUUGUUACCACUACACAUGGUCUAAUUAAACUCUAAAUACUUAUGUCUAGUGACACCCUAAACCCCUGACUUUAACCAGCCGACACAUCAUGCUUUCCCUUCCAAAUUCUUCUUUUUUUUCUCUGUAGAUGUCAUCUUCAAUAAACAUAAACACAGGGUAUUCAUCUCCUUCAAUACACACACAUGGAGAUCAUUUCAUCUCCACAAACUCUCAAGACAAACAACAAGCACCAUAACUUCUCCUCCCCAUCGCAAUUUCCAAACCAGCGACCACAAGAAGUGGCGCCGGUUAACCAGCAUGACACCCCCAAACACCUCCACCCCUCCCCUGUUUAUUAGCCGGCGACCAAUUAUAGAAGACGACCACCACCGUCAGGUGGUGAUGGUGAGCGACAGCUCAAGCGAGAGGGAGAGAGAACAGAGAUCGGAGAAAGAGAUCGGACGGCGGUAACACUGCCACUCACGGAGGACAGGCGGCGGUGGCUUUGUUCUUCCGGCGAGUUUCACGGUAACGAUCUGCUGUGGCCAAUGAUGAUGAUGCUGGCGGUGUCAUGCGGCGGCGGUGGUAGUGCCGGCGACAGGAGUGGAGCUCUGUUCCGACUGGGCUCCGGUUUGGGUUGUUUGACUCCGACUCCAGUUCGGGUUUCGGGUUCUCCGGGUCAAACGCAGAUCCUCGGUUCAAAGUUUCGGUCUGGUCAAGCGAGUCAAAAACUGGUCAACAGCUUGGGUCAACGGUCAUACUUGUUCGGUUACAAUUUGAUGUUUAGUAAAAUUUUAAAUGUCUCGAAGUUCAUUUUAUUAUUUAUGUUAUUUUAAUAGCAGAACCGAACUUUAUAUCGACAACAUGUUAUAUGUAACUUUGAAUAAUUGUUGAAUUUUGUCAAUGUUAUCGACAA